AUGUUUUUCAUUCUUCUCUACCUCGCAGCAAGCUAUUCACUGCAUUUUUUGAGGGGGAAAUAAAAAAAAGAAGUUAUAUACUACAUAGCGUCUUUUUUUUUUUUUUUUUUUUUUUUGAAAUUGAAGAGGAAAAGGCAUGUGGAGAGAGGGGAAAAGGAAGAUUUCACUCACUGCAAAUUUCUUGGACUGCUCUGAGCUCACCUGGAAAACAAAGAGACUGAAUUCUUCCUCUCGUGUAGAUGGAUGCGAGCAUGGUACGACUGCAGGGGCCUCAGAAGUGGAGAUGUAGGACACAGUACAAGGGAUUACAUACAAGGGAUGAGAAGAAAAGGGGCAGAGGAUUACAGCAUUGACCAAGUGUCUGCUGCAGCAGGUCUGAAAGAGAAUAUGAUCUGAAUGGCAGUUGAGCAACAAAGCAACUUGCAGGAGUGGCGUUAAAUGGUAACAAUUUAUUUCUUCAAGAUUACUCAGAGGUAUCACUAUUAUCCCUCAUAUUGGCACAGAAAAAUCAGAGCUAAAGAUUUGCUUCAAGCAGAACUGAAGGAAGUGCUUUAGGUGCUGCAGCAUACACUCACUUGGACAACAGAACAGCUUUUUGGAAAAGAAGUUAAAUCAACUUCAAGGGAGUCCUGCCACAAUGAAAAAAAAAAAAAAAAGAAAAAAGAAGAAAACCUUUAGAUCAAUACAGUACUUUUUCCUGUGCUUAGAUGACUACUUUUGCAUGGUGAUCUGCUUCAGAACUCUUUAAGUAAGCUUAACAGCAACAAAAUUAGAGUAUGACUGUGAUUUUAGAUUUACAUUCUUACAAAUAUUUCCUCAAUGAAAACUUUUCAUCCACCAGAGUAAUGAGAUGGCUACUAGAAAGGCUUUUUCAUUAUAUGCACACUACCUAUUUAAAGUGUAUGCAGUAGCACCAGUACCGAAUUUCCUUAGGGCUGACUUUGAUGGGCCCUUUGAACUGGGAGAAGUUUUGCUUUAACAUAAGGGAAGAGACUGAAAAUUAAG
rnacentral:lncRNA from 1 species